GUCCACGCCGUAAACGAUGUCAACUAGCCGUUGGAGAUCUUAGUAUCUUUAGUGGCGUAGCUAACGCGCUAAGUUGACCGCCUGGGGAGUACGGUCGCAAGAUUAAAACUCAAAUGAAUUGACGGGGGCCCGCACAAGCGGUGGAGCAUGUGGUUUAAUUCGACGCAACGCGAAGAACCUUACCUGGUCUUGACAUCCUCAGAACUUUCCAGAAAUGGAUUGGUGCCUUCGGGAACUGAGUGACAGGUGCUGCAUGGCU
rnacentral:rRNA from 1 species